rnacentral:lncRNA from 1 species
UCAAGAAAAAAUCACAAUAUACCAGAGAGAACUUAAGCUUCAUUAUUACAUUCCAACUCUUAUUUGUACAAUCAAUAGGGCCACUAAACAUAACCCAACCUAAAUACAGCAAAUAAAAGCCACCCAGUUCCCAGUUCACCACCUGCGCCAACAAAUGCUAGUUACAACUCAAUCUUUACUCAACAAAUUCUGCACUACGAAAACAAACGCUACAAACAGCAACAAUUUCAUCAUUUUCUCCUUGCGUCUUGUUUCUUCCAACUUUGCCUCCAAUUCUCUUAAUCUCUUCGUCAAUUUUAUUGUGUGUCUCACUAAUUUAUUGCACCUCUCACAACUGUCUGUAUCAUACUACUUGAAAUAGCCACAGUCGCCGCCACCAUUAUGCUGUUCAAAAUUAUCUCUUCAAAUCUCACAUUUUCUAAAAGAAAAAAGAAACAAAAAUCAGGCACACUUACUUCAUAGUAAGCGCAACCAUAGAACCUCUUUCCUGGAUUUUCAGCUGU